AUGAAUACGAAUGUGUGUGAUGCAUUGCAACCCCUAGCCUAUCUUCUAUCAUGGUAUCAGCUUAGAUCUUUCCACUGCUUCCGCCAUGGACGCCGAGGCCGCCGCCGCCGCCGCCGCCGCCACGGCUACGCCUCCGGCGCCCUCCUCCCAACCUCUCGGCUCCAUCCCGCAGCCCCCUCCUCCACCCCCUCCUCCCUCCUCCGUAGUACACACGCCUCUCCCUCUUCAGACUGCGCCGCCGGUCGCCAGCUUCCCUUCUGCGGCCUAUAUCCAUGCGAUGCGCGUCGAGAGUGCCCACAUCAACCUCGGCGUCCGCCUCGAUAUGAAAGGGGCCAACUACUCGACUUGGCGUGGCCUCAUGCUUGA
rnacentral:rRNA from 1 species